GUUUAUGUAGUUUAAUAAAAUAGUUGUUUUGUAAACAACAGAUAUGCCUCUAGCAUUAUGAACA
rnacentral:tRNA from 1 species